rnacentral:lncRNA from 1 species
GGGCUUAUGAGGAAGAAAGAAAUGAAUGAGAAGUAAAUUAUCAGUCGUAACUCUUAGAUGUGAGCAACAGAAUUUACACCACUAAACAAAUCCAGCAGAGACCCCACUGCCACUACCAGCUUGGGAAUCUCCACGUCUGUGAGUCGGUGUCUUCCACCCUGGCCAGAAAAUGGAUUCCCAGCAGCACCUGCUUCCUUGUGUUGCACUACUCUUGAUUCAUCAUUGCGUACACUGUGAGCAGCUGCUAGGCGGGAAAAGCAUCAGAUGAGUGUCUGCAUGAUUUUUGAUAAUGGCUAUGAGGAACAAAUAUUGCAGAUGGAUCAAACCAAAGAAUCACACUCAAAGCUGGAUUAAAGAGUCAUGAAAAGAAGGGAGAGGAAGAAAUGAAGAAACAAGAGAAUUAUAGAAGUAAAAUAUGCAGUUUAUUAUUGAAAAGAAAUCUGCCAUUUGAAUAAAGACCAAACAGCUUUUCAUUGUUUCACCCCACAUGGCUACAUUUUUUUUGAGCAGCAAGUCCCAAGAUCAAGAAACCAGAAGACUUUGACUAAUUAGUAGUCAUGGAAAUUUACUACACCAACAACAAAUUUAUCAGGCAAUUUCAUUUCCAAAGCACGUUUGUGCAUGUCACAGCUCCUUGCUGAAGAAAGCUGCCGUAAACUGUACCUUGUACAACGGGCACCCACUGACUGGCUCAAAGGCAGACACCUGACCUAAGGGCAGCCAAGUUCAUAGGCUGGCAUUGCAUCGGAAUCAGCUGGCUGAGUAGGCUUUCUUGGCCAGAUGAAGACUGUUCCAUCAACCUUGAUCCCAGAAUGAAGACAGUAUGGAGCAGAACUACAGCUGACCCAUGAUGGGCAUUCAAU